GCCGGGCAUGGUGGCCCAUGCCUGUAAUCCCAGCUACUUGGGAGGCUGAGGCAGGGGAAUCGUUUGAACCCGGGAGGUGUAGGUUGCAGUGAGCCGAGAUCGCGCCACUGCACUCCAGCCUGGGCAACAAGAGCAAAACUCUGUCUCAA
rnacentral:SRP_RNA from 1 species